CCGAGCGGCGGGGCCUCGUGGCCGCGCCGCCGCCGCCGGUGCGCGCAGGGCUGUCCGCUUCCCGCCGCCGCUGCAAGCCGCGCCGGCCACCUCCAUCACCGCUGCGGAGAAAGGGCGGGAGCCGCGCGAACCUCGACGCCCCCAACCUCCGGCUGCUUCCUUCCUUCACCACCGUGCAGCACCAGCUCGACGGGGGCGCCUGGAUCCGUCUUCUGCGAGUCUGGGCGCCUCCAGCGCGGCCUUCUCCUCCGAUGGAGAUCGAGCGCCGCCGUAGAGGUCGCGUCGUCUUCUGCGAAUCUGGGCGCCUCCAGCGCGGCCUUCUCUUCCGAUGGAGGUCGAGCGCCGCCGUAGAGGGAGCGCCGUCUUCUGUGAGUCUGGGCGCGUCGAGCACGUGCCGGCGGCGGGAGUCCGCGGUGUCGCUGUGGUGCACUCGUCUCGAGCUAAGCCAGGGGCCACGACUCCAUCCCCUGCAGAGUCCGCGGUGUUUGCUAUGGUUUGUAAAUUAGCAAAUACGAGGGCGUAGGAUGGGGAACGAGAGGAUCACCUCAGCUGCCUCCUUAACUUCUUUCUGGUCGCCUCCCAAUUUUUGUUGUGUUUGGACAGAUACGAGCACUACAUAAGCAUAAUUAUUUGAUUUUUUUUAUCCUUCUCUGUGAUUAUUUUCUUCUUUCUAGACUGUUGGAGCGUUCCUAAACUGAUUACAUGAGAUACUUGGUUCAUUGUCCAAGUGUGCUGCUCA